UACAGAGGUGGCAAGCGUUGUUCGGAAUCACUGGGCGUAAAGGGCGCGUAGGCGGUACUUCAAGUCAGGCGUGAAAGCCCCGGGCUCAACCUGGGAACCGCGCUUGAGACUGGAGAACUAGAGUUCGGGAGAGGAUGGUGGAAUUCCCAGUGUAGAGGUGAAAUUCGUAGAUAUUGGGAAGAACACCGAUGGCGAAGGCAGCCAUCUGGACCGACACUGACGCUGAGGCGCGAAAGCGUGGGGAGCAAACAGG
rnacentral:rRNA from 1 species